GAACGCAUCUUGCGCUCCUUGGUAUUCCGAGGAGCAUGCCUGUUUGAGUAUCAUGAACACCUCAACUCUCGUGGCCUGCCACGAUGAGCUUGGACUUUGGGGGUCUUGCCGGCCUAGCGUCGGCUCCUCUCAAAUGGAUCAGCUUGCCAGUGUUUGGUGGCGUCACGGGUGUGAUAACUAUCUACGCUUGUGGUUUUCUACCAUGUAACCUUCAGUGAUGGAGGUUCGCUGGGGCUCACAGAUGUCUCUCCUUGGGGAGGACAGCUUUUUGAACGUUUGAUCUCAAAUCAGGUAGGACUACCCGCUGAACUUAAG
rnacentral:misc_RNA from 1 species